rnacentral:rRNA from 1 species
UCGAACGGUAACAUAGCUAGCUUGCUAGCUGAUGACGAGUGGCGGACGGGUGAGUAACGCGUAGGAAUCUACCUAUUAGUGGGGGACAACCUGGUGAAAACCAGGCUAAUACCGCAUACGCCCUACGGGGGAAAGCAGGGGAUCUUCGGACCUUGCGCUAUUAGAUGAGCCUGCGUUAGAUUAGCUUGUUGGUGAGGUAAUGGCUCACCAAGGCGACGAUCUAUAGCUGGUCUGAGAGGAUGAUCAGCCACACUGGGACUGAGACACGGCCCAGACUCCUACGGGAGGCAGCAGUGGGGAAUAUUGCGCAAUGGGCGAAAGCCUGACGCAGCCAUACCGCGUGUGUGAAGAAGGGUUUAGGCUCGUAAAGCACUUUAAGUAGGGAGGAAGGCCUGUAAAUUAAUACUUUGCAGGAUUGACGUUACCUACAGAAUAAGCACCGGCUAACUCCGUGCCAGCAGCCGCGGUAAUACGGAGGGUGCAAGCGUUAAUCGGAAUUACUGGGCGUAAAGCGCGCGUAGGCGGUUUGUUAAGCGAGAUGUGAAAGCCCAGGGCUCAACCUUGGAACUGCAUUUCGAACUGGCAGGCUAGAGUACAAGAGAGGGUGGUAGAAUUUCCUGUGUAGCGGUGAAAUGCGUAGAUAUAGGAAGGAAUACCAGUGGCGAAGGCGGCCACCUGGCUUGAUACUGACGCUGAGGUGCGAAAGCGUGGGGAGCGAACAGGAUUAGAUACCCUGGUAGUCCACGCCGUAAACGAUGUCACCUAGCCG